GAUCAUGGCUCAGGAUGAACGCUAGCGGCAGGCUUAACACAUGCAAGUCGAGGGGCAUCGGGAGUAGCAAUACUUGCCGGCGACCGGCGCAAGGGUGCGUAACGCGUGAGCAACAUGCCCGUAUCAGGGGGAUAAUCCAUGGAAACGUGGUCUAAUACCCCAUAGUAAUUAUGUAAGGCAUCUUAUAUAAUUUAAAGCUUUGGUGGAUACGGAUUGGCUCGCGUGACAUUAGCUGGAUGGUAAGGUAACGGCUUACCAUGGCUACGAUGUCUAGGGGUUCUGGGAGGAAGGUCCCCCACACUGGAACUGAGACACGGUCCAGACUCCUACGGGAGGCAGCAGUGAGGAAUAUUGGACAAUGGAUGGAAAUCUGAUCCAGCCAUGCCGCGUGCCAGGAAGACGGCCCUAUGGGUUGUAAACUGCUUUUGUAUGGGAGCAAUAAGGGCUACGUGUAGUCCGAUGAGAGUACCAUACGAAUAAGCACCGGCUAACUCCGUGCCAGCAGCCGC
rnacentral:rRNA from 1 species